GGGGGGAGCUCAAAUGGCAGAGCUUGUGCUUAGCAUGCAUAAGGUCUUGGGUUCAAUCCCCAGUACCUCUU
rnacentral:tRNA from 1 species